GUUUUUGUAGUUGAAAAACAACGGUGGUUUUUCAAGCCAUUAGUCUGGGUUAGAAUCCGAGCAAGAACU
rnacentral:tRNA from 1 species